CCUACGGGGGGCUGCAGUGAGGAAUAUUGGUCAAUGGACGAGAGUCUGAACCAGCCAAGGAGCGUGAAGGAUGACUGCCCUAUGGGUUGUAAACUUCUUUUAUAUGGGAAUAAAACGUUCCACGUGUGGGAUUUUGUAUGUACCAUAUGAAUAAGGAUCGGCUAACUCCGUGCCAGCAGCCGCGGUAAUACGGAGGAUCCGAGCGUUAUCCGGAUUUAUUGGGUUUAAAGGGAGCGUAGGUGGAUUGUUAAGUCAGUUGUGAAAGUUUGCGGCUCAACCGUAAAAUUGCAGUUGAAACUGGCAGUCUUGAGUACAGUAGAGGUGGGCGGAAUUCGUGGUGUAGCGGUGAAAUGCUUAGAUAUCACGAAGAACUCCGAUUGCGAAGGCAGUUCACUGGACUGCAACUGACACUGAGGCUCGAAAGUGUGGGUAUCAAACAGGAUUAGAUACCCUUGUAGUC
rnacentral:rRNA from 1 species